GGGUGCAAAAUUAGCUCAGCAGGGCUGCCCUAUGGUUGAGUCUAUAUAAUGUACUAUUCUUGCCCUUGAGAAGAGAGAGAUUUUGAAGAGCUGAAAAUCCGGAAAAUAAAGGUUGUAUACAUUUACUGUUUCAUAAGCUUAAGAGAUUUUAGGAGUUAAAAAAAUACAAAAAAAGAGCUGGUUGGGUUUAGAAAGAAAAAUAAUGUUCCAUUGAACUGUUGUAUCCUUCUUUGAUUUUCGGAGUUUGCUUUUAUUUUUUGAAAUUAUCAUCAAAUUAUUUUGAGCUGAAAUGAUUUGAAGCUGGAGAAAUAGCUAUUUUUUGGGGGGUUAUGUCAUUUGUUGGGUCACCAUUCUGGUGGAAUUGGGCUGCUGACUUGCUGUUGCUGCAGCCUACUGAUCUUCACUCUCCUUUGUUUCCUUUUCUUAUCUCAGGUAUUAUUUAGCACCUAUGGACUCCACUUAAUGUGUAAUUCAAAGUUUCGAUUGGAAUAAGAUGAAGUUUAGUGAUGGUUCAUUGACUUUGAUCUUUAUUCCUUCAGUUGUUUGUUUAUCAGUAUACCACGUUUGGAUUUUGUCUAAUGCAUUUGUCCAAGCAUGAUUGUAAUUGAUAAUUAGAUCAUGUUAUUUAGUGUAGUAAUCUUCUCUUAACUCUGUUUAUUAAAGUAUGCAAUUAGAGUUGGAGUUCCUUUAGCUUAGCCUGUAUUACUGCAGUAAAUUAGAAUGGUUGAGAUUGUCGUAUUAGAGCAUGUUGAUUAUGAGGAGG
rnacentral:lncRNA from 1 species